AGAUUCACAAUCACGGCAAACGUGCGACCGCCUCACGCUGCCUCCAGUCCAGAUCGCUCCUCUGCUCGUUGCGGGCCUGCGGCCGCCUCUGCCUGACUGCCUCUGUCGCUGUUCGUCGUUAUCUGUUCGUCGCAACCGCAUCUGUCUCCAGAUCGCGUUGCUGCUUUGUUCAAAAGGUUCAGAUUUCUAUUUUGUUUGUGUUGAUUGUUGUUAGUUAGUGUUGAUUUUUGUUUGUUAGUUUUGAUUUGGAAUUCUGUUAGUUUUGAAUCGUCGCUCCUUUGUUAGUUAAUUUUGAUAGUUCGUCGCUCUUUUGACUCUGUUAAUUUCAAUUUUUCUUAGUUCAUUGCUCCUGUGUCAGCUUUGAGUUCUUCAUUUUGUUGAGUUUUUACCUAUCCUAAGAAUUUAACUUAUAUGGCAGUACCCGAUGUUUUUGUGGAAUUCUACUUUUUGUUUUGUUGUUCAGUUAGCAUGAAAUUUAAAGCUUAUUUUGUUAGUGUUGAGUUUGGAGCUCUAAUUUGGAGUUUGGAAUUUUGGUUUGGAGUUUCAAUUAGACGAUGGUGCUGAUUUUUGUUUAGAGUUUUUGUGUUGCACGUAAGGUGUUUGAUUUUAUGUCCAUGUAUAGUGUUUGAGUUUUUUUGUUGCACAUAAGGUGUUUGAUUUUAUGUCCAUCUAAAGUGUUUGAAUUUUUUUGUUGCAUACAAGGUGAUUGAGUUUUUUUGCAUUUUUGUUUGAAUUUUUUUGUUUAUCUUUAUAUCGGCCACCCCAAGGUUUUCCAGCAAGCUCCGCCACUGUGCGUGCGUGCGUGCGCCUCUAAAAUCAUGGAUUCUCUUAUUUGAAAACCAUCAUUUUUUCACACCAAUUUAAUCUCUUAUUAUUUGUACUACGAUGAUACAUUUCUUCUCCUACAACUUACUAAUAGAGAUUUUUGCUUAUUUUCUGGAGAUAAUUGUGAGGAUGUAAUCAAAUUAGAUAAUUGUGUUCAACCUUCAACUAAAGUAAACAAUCAUCAACUCAACAAGGUAUGGUAUCUCAAAAUUACAUUGUUUAGGGUUUAGUGAUUUGGUUGAUUCAUUAUUCAAUUGAAACUAUUAGUAAUAUAUUUGUGUUCUGAAAUCAUUGCUAGGGUUUUUCAUAUUUUCAAAAUUAGGGAUUUUGUGUUAUUCUUAAAAAUUGUGGAUUUGCUUAUCCUCUUUCCAUUUUCUCGACCAUAGAUUUUUCACGUUUGCGCAUCUCUUUUACGUUGAUUUGUUUAAUUUUAAACCCUAGUUCUGUAAUUUGGGUUGUAUUUGCAAUGUCCUGUAAUUGUUCUUUUGUAGAUAUAUUUUUAUUGUGCUCUUUGAUUAUGUGAACUUUUGAACUUUAGGUAGAUGAGAUAAAGAGAAAUGAUGAAUGCAAGAAGAAAAAAGUGACAUAAUCCAAGAACUGAUUUGUAUUGAUUUAUCUUUUUAGUAAUUUACAAUAUGUUUUGAUGAUAGCUAUUUAUAAGUUGAGCUCUUAUUUGUUUGCAGAAAAUUGUGCAGGCUCCUUGCUCUCUGUCCCUUGCUAAAUGAGUGUAGCAACAAGUGACUUCAAACCAUUCCCAUUAUCUUUGAAUUAGGAACUCCUAACUGGUAGAGAUGGAAAAAGAUGCGAGUGUGACAAAAGAAAAGGUUAGAAACUACAUAUGUGACGAUCUUGCAUUUCAUAUUCUAUCAAAAUUUCCUCUAAAAUCUUUGAAAGCGUACGUAAAUCAUGGAUUCUCUUAUUUGAAAACCAUCAUUUCAUGAGCAUCUUUCACAAUAAUUUAAUCUCUUAUGAUCAUUCGUACUACGAUGAUACAUCUUUUCUGCUACAACUUACUAGUAGAGAAUUUGUGUUCAUUUUCUGGAGAUAAUUUUGAGGGUGUAAUCAAAUUAGAUUUUCCAAAUCCAUUUCAAGAUGAGAACCCUUCUUUAAGGGUUUUGGAUUUUGGUAGUAUUACCGGAAUUCUUUGUCUCUACACUCGUGAUCUAAGAUAUGUAUUAUGGAAUCCAACAACAUAGGAAUUCAAGAUCAUCCCUCGAAUCCCUCGUGCGUGCGUGCGUGCGCCUCUAAAAUCAUGGAUUCUCUUAUUUGAAAACCAUCAUUUUUUCACACCAAUUUAAUCUCUUAUCAUUCGUACUAGGAUGAUACAUUUCUUCUCCUACAGCUUACUAAUAGAGAUUUGUGUUUAUUUUCUGGAGAUAAUUGUGAGGAUGUAAUCAAAUUAGAUUUCCCAAAUCCAUUUCAUGACGAGCACCCUUCUUUUAGGGUUUUGGAUUCUGGUAUUAUUACCAGAAUUCUUUGUGUCUACACUCAUGAGCUAAGAUAUGCAUCAUGGAGAAUCCCACAACAGAGGAAUUCAAGAUCAUCCCACGAAUCCCUCGUGCGUGCGCACUGGCGGAGCUUUGCUGGGACAGGGGGUGGCCAAGGCCACCCCAAGAAAAAAUAUAAAAAAAAAUUUAUAGGUAAAAUGACUAAAAUGGCCUUGUUAAAACUCAAAAAUUACAACAAUACCUAAACCUAAUUCAAUUUUCUCUUUCUUUCUCUCUAUUCCAGCCUUCCUCUCUCCCUUCUCCAGAUUCACAAUCACGGCAAACGUGCGACCGCCUCACGCUGCCUCCAGUCCAGAUCGCUCCUCUGCUCGUUGCGGGCCUGCGCCCGCCUCUGCCUGACUGCCUCUGUCGCUGUUCGUCGUUAUCUGUUCGUCGCAACCGCAUCUGUCUCCAGAUCGCGUUGCUGCUUUGUUCAAAAGGUUCAGAUUUCUAUUUUGUUUGUGUUGAUUGUUGUUAGUUAGUGUUGAUUUUUGUUUGUUAGUUUUGAUUUGGAAUUCUGUUAGUUUUGAAUCGUCGCUCCUUUGUUAGUUAAUUUUGAUAGUUCGUCGCUCCUUUGACUCUGUUAAUUUCAAUUUUUCUUAGUUCAUUGCUCCUGUG
rnacentral:lncRNA from 1 species